UACGUAGGGUGCAAGCGUUAAUCGGAAUUACUGGGCGUAAAGCGUGCGCAGGCGGUUAUGCAAGACAGAGGUGAAAUCCCCGGGCUCAACCUGGGAACUGCCUUUGUGACUGCAUGGCUAGAGUACGGUAGAGGGGGAUGGAAUUCCGCGUGUAGCAGUGAAAUGCGUAGAUAUGCGGAGGAACACCGAUGGCGAAGGCAAUCCCCUGGACCUGUACUGACGCUCAUGCACGAAAGCGUGGGGAGCAAACAGGAU
rnacentral:rRNA from 1 species